rnacentral:lncRNA from 1 species
CUUUUAUUUACAAUCUUUUAUUUUCUUCCUGUCCUGUUCCCUCUUCAUGUGUUAAAUCUGGACUGCAGACUCAAACACUAUUGCUCCCUGGGUGCUGAGGCCCUGAUGCACACUUAGGCUGUCCUGUCCUUCUUGGGGCUGGUCCUUCUUUGCAAGGAGGACCCAGCACCUGCAGAGGAGGUCAGAAGGGCAUACAGCAAACUGGACCGAGAGACGGCUGGCUUCCUGAGUGCUGGCAGAGCCGUGAGCUGAUGUAGGUCCGAGGUCGCCCUUGCCUCAUAUCCCUGUCAAUUCAAGUAACCUUCUCCCGGCCAAGGUUGUGCGUUUUUUUUUUUUUCUUUCCCCCUAGGAAUUUCUCAGUCCUGGUUUCCCUUUUGUUUUUCAGUUUCUCAUUGUGAGCUGGCUCAUCUUGCCCUCCAGACUUGCCUGAAAACUCCUUAUUGGAUGUUGAGCCCUGAACGAAUUCCUGUCUGCUGCCACGUGCUGAGUCACGGUUCGUGUGACUCCUCACUGACUCCUGGCUGCCUUCUAGGCAGAUGGGCCUGCCGGGACUGAGAGGAAGCAGCGGCCAGCCAGACACCCACACCUCCAGGCAGAGUCACUUCUGAGAUGCCGUCUUCCGUCCUCGGGGUGAAAACGAGUCAUCGGCCAGCUGGGUGGGGAGAGAGGAGUGGGGUGGGGGUCGGCUGACAUCAUGCCUGAUCUUUCCUGCCGGGUUUGAGGGAAGGUCAUGCUUAAGCUUGACUUUUGAGGGAAAAGGAGGUGACGUCAUCGAUGAGCUUUCUCUGCUUGAGUGUCAGGGGAUGGAGUCACUUCCAGACAGGAAUCUGGGCCUGGAGCAAGAACAGACAGGACACCAGCAGCUCCCUGCCCUCACUUUGCCUGACUGAGAUGCUCUGCUGGAAUUGGGCUACAGGACUGCACAGAAUGCAGCCUGUCUUCUUACAGACAGGGCACUGAGCAGAAGCAGAGUGGUCCAUCAGACAACAGCCUUGCUUAAGAGGACUGACUUCUGGUGAACGGCCCUUACAGUGAGUAACUAAUUCAUCCAAGAGCGGAUAUUAGUCAUUUCCUCAGGCAAAGGUAAACAUCAAUGGGGGCAGGGUUUGGAAAUUCAUGCCAAGUGGUCAGUGUUGAGGAAGCCAUAUAAGGUAAGAGUGAUCACAUACAUUAUUCACGUUUAUUCAUUCAACAAAUACUUAUUGAACAUCAACUAUGUGCUAAGCACCAGAUUUAGGGGUAUGCAAGUU